CGGGACGGGUGAGUAACGCGUGAGCAAUCUGCCCAUGUCAGGGGGAUAACAGUUAGAAAUGACUGCUAAUACCGCAUAUGACCACGAGAAGGCAUCUUCUUGGGGUGAAAGAUUUAUCGGACAUGGAUGAGCUCGCGUCCCAUUAGGCAGUUGGCGGGGUAACGGCCCACCAAACCGACGAUGGGUAGCCGACCUCAGAGGGUGAUCGGCCACAUUGGAACUGAGACACGGUCCAAACUCCUACGGGAGGCAGCAG
rnacentral:rRNA from 1 species